UACGAAGGGGGCUAGCGUUGCUCGGAAUUACUGGGCGUAAAGGGCGCGUAGGCGGACAGUUAAGUCAGAGGUGAAAGCCCAGGGCUCAACUCUGGAAUAGCCUUUGAUACUGGCUGUCUUGAGUGCGGGAGAGGUGUGUGGAACUCCGAGUGUAGAGGUGAAAUUCGUAGAUAUUCGGAAGAACACCAGUGGCGAAGGCGAGUCCCUGGACAUCUCCUGACACUGAGGCACGAAAGCUAGGUGAGCAAACAGG
rnacentral:rRNA from 1 species